AACGAACGCUGGCGGCAGGCUUAACACAUGCAAGUCGAGCGCCCCGCAAGGGGAGCGGCAGACGGGUGAGUAACGCGUGGGAAUCUACCCAUCUCUACGGAAUAACGCAUGGACACGUGUGCUAAUACCGUAUACGUCCUUCGGGAGAAAGAUUUAUCGGAGAUGGAUGAGCCCGCGUUGGAUUAGCUAGUUGGUGGGGUUAAGGCCUACCAAGGCGACGAUCCAUAGCUGGUCUGAGAGGAUGAUCAGCCACACUGGGACUGAGACACGGCCCAGACUCCUACGGGAGGCAGCAGUGGGGAAUAUUGGACAAUGGGCGCAAGCCUGAUCCAGCCAUGCCGCGUGAGUGAUGAAGGCCCUAGGGCUGUAAAGCUCUUUCACCGGUGAAGAUAAUGACGGUAACCGGAGAAGAAGCCCCGGCUAACUUCGUGCCAGCAGCCGCCGUAACAC
rnacentral:rRNA from 1 species